ACCAUCCUCCAAGGCUAAAUACUCCUGACUGACCGAUAGUGAACCAGUACCGUGAGGGAAAGGCGAAAAGAACCCCGGCGAGGGGAGUGAAAAAGAACCUGAAACCGUGUACGUACAAGCAGUGGGAGCACCUUCGGGUGUGACUGCGUACCUUUUGUAUAAUGGGUCAGCGACUUAUAUUCUGUAGCAAGGUUAACCGUAUAGGGGAGCCGCAGGGAAACCGAGUCUUAACUGGGCGUUAAGUUGCAGGGUAUAGACCCGAAACCCGGUGAUCUAGCCAUGGGCAGGUUGAAGGUUGGGUAACACUAACUGGAGGACCGAACCGACUAAUGUUGAAAAAUUAGCGGAUGACUUGUGGCUGGGGGUGAAAGGCCAAUCAAACCGGGAGAUAGCUGGUUCUCCCCGAAAGCUAUUUAGGUAGCGCCUCGUGAACUCAUCUUCGGGGGUAGAGCACUGUUUCGGCUAGGGGGUCAUCCCGACUUACCAACCCGAUGCAAACUACGAAUACCGAAGAAUGUUAUCACGGGAGACACACGGCGGGUGCUAACGUCCGUCGUGAAGAGGGAAACAACCCAGACCGCCAGCUAAGGUCCCAAAGUCACAGUUAAGUGGGAAACGAUGUGGGAAGGCACAGACAGCCAGGAUGUUGGCUUAGAAGCAGCCAUCAUUUAAAGAAAGCGUAAUAGCUCACUGGUCGAGUCGGCCUGCGCGGAAGAUGUAACGGGGCUAAACUGUGCACCGAAGCUGCGGCAGCGACACUAUGUGUUGUUGGGUAGGGGAGCGUUCUGUAAGCCUGCGAAGGUGGCCUGUGAGGGUUGCUGGAGGUAUCAGAAGUGCGAAUGCUGACAUAAGUAACGAUAAUGCGGGUGAAAAGCCCGCACGCCGGAAGACCAAGGGUUCCUGUCCAACGUUAAUCGGGGCAGGGUGAGUCGACCCCUAAGGCGAGGCCGAAAGGCGUAGUCGAUGGGAAACAGGUUAAUAUUCCUGUACUUGGUGUUACUGCGAAGGGGGGACGGAGAAGGCUAUGUUAGCCGGGCGACGGUUGUCCCGGUUUAAGCAUGUAGGCGGAGGUUC
rnacentral:rRNA from 1 species